CUUUUAACAAUGGAUUUUCUAGGCUCUCACAUCGAUGAAGAACACAGUGAAAUGUGAUAAGUAAUGUGAAUUGCAGAAUUCAGUGAAUCAUUGAAUCUUUGA
rnacentral:rRNA from 1 species